AGCACAUCGGCGCCCCACGAAAUGCCCAUGUUUGGCUUUGAAUCUUUUCAGAUUAGGUGGAGAAAACAAUGUUGAGGAUUUUCCAGCUCAGUGACUGUGUGGUUUGGUGCUGCUGCUCUGCAGAUUUGGUAGAAGGCAAUGAGGGCGGGGGGGUUUCUCCCUGCUUUUCCAGCCUCUGCCCUAUUUCUCAUCCAGCUGGCCCCAUCCCACCACUCUGCCCAGGCGGCCGACUGCCUUCCUCCCCCUUGCUCUGCAUAAUCUUUUUUCCCUCUUUUUGUUGUUGACCUGGAGUGCUCUAUUUCAGUUGCAGGAAAUAUCGAGAGUGUGAUAUCAGUGGAGCUGGAUCCUUUGCUGAGGACUCUCCUGGUACCUCCACAGCCAUUCCUGGUGGGAAGCCAGAGCCAACCCGUGCCCCACUUUUUGGUGUGCGUGCAGCACCCACCUGCUUUCUGCUGCCAUGCACUGUGAUGCGGCAGGGCUUGUGAGCAGCUGGCACUGGGCAGGAGGAGGAAGCAGACAAGGCAGAGAGCUGCAGGUGGGAGCAAUCAGAUCAGAACCAAAGCCCACAACAACACCGUCCCAGGGCAGGGACAUUUAGCCUCAAAACGUUGUUGAAAAUGGCCAGGAGGAUCCUCGUUCUGCCCUGCAACAACGGCUACCUGUGGGCUGCAGAGAUGCUCCAGAGAAUGCAAUGUUUGGAUACCACUGGAGAGGCGCUCGGGCUCUGGUAGCAUUUGUUUCCACCCACCUUCUCCAGUUUGCUCCAUGAAAGCCAUCGGCUGCCUCGCACAGACCCGGAGCUCCUUCUGCAUGGAGCUGUGGGACAGUGAUGGGAGGAGGAGGAGGAGGAGCAGGAGCAGGAGCUGGAGCUGGAGCGAGGCUGCUCUCCAGGAGCCUCAGGAGUCGCUUGGGGCUGAAGAGCGAGGAGAAGCUCGUUUGUUAUGCAAAUAUCUGCUUCGGCCUGGCCUGGCAUAGGCAGUGGAAAGCUCUUGAAUUAUUUUAAGCAGAGGACAAAAGUUCUUUCCCUCCCCCUAUCAUCUUGGAUCCUUAUUAAAACAAAACAAA
ensembl:lncRNA